rnacentral:lncRNA from 1 species
GCCCCGGCCCGGAGCCCGAGAGCCCUCGACGCCCCCGCCGCGCCUCCCCCGCCUGGCCUGGCCCAGCGGCGUCCCCAGCGAAUUGUGUCGCUUUUCUGCCCUGGAAGCUCCCUCGGCCACGUUCCACUUUUUUUCCCAGUCCCAGGAGGCGUAAGAUAAAACCUCUGAUUUGCUGCGUGCUGCCGGGCACAUUCUCUGCCCUCUCGUCCGAAGGACGAGUUUAAAAUGGAGAGUUUAAAAUAAUAGCAUUUACAGGAGGAAAUAAAGAGCGAGGAGAUGGUUCUUUGGCCGGUUUUAAGACAUACAUGCUUUUUUUUUCUUUUAAUACAAGAUGUCUUAAGGGUUAAAAGCGUUCUAGGGUUUGCUGUAUUUCCUUCUAGAUUUGGGGUUUCCUGAGGAAAUCUUUUCCGGAGGGAAAUAGCAAAUCAACAUUAAGAUGGAAGCGAGACUUCUCAGCCACUUUUGGAAAUGAAGGGGGAAAUUGUAAAAAUACAUUCAGAAAAGGGCGCGAAGGCGGCGGCUGAGGGGAAGAAGCUGGAGUCUUGGGAGGAAGCGCAGUGGGUUGGAAUCG